CCUACGGGUGGCAGCAGUGGGGGAUAUUGCACAAUGGGGGGAACCCUGAUGCAGCGACGCCGCGUGGGUGAAGGAGUGCUUCGGCAUGUAAAGCCCUAUCGGCAGGGAAGAAGCAAGACGGUACCUGACUAAGAAGCCCCGGCUAACUACGUGCCAGCAGCCGCGGUAAUACGUAGGUGGCAAGCGUUGUCCGGAUUUACUGGGUGUAAAGGGCGUGUAGCCGGGCUGACAAGUCAGAUGUGAAAUUCCGGGGCUCAACCCCGGACCUGCAUUUGAAACUGUUGGUCUUGAGUAUCGGAGAGGCAGGCGGAAUUCCUAGUGUAGCGGUGAAAUGCGUAGAUAUUAGGAGGAACACCAGUGGCGAAGGCGGCCUGCUGGACGACAACUGACGGUGAGGCGCGAAAGCGUGGGGAGCAAACAGGAUUAGAUACCCGGGUAGUC
rnacentral:rRNA from 1 species